rnacentral:rRNA from 1 species
AAUGAACGCUGGCGGCAGGCUUAACACAUGCAAGUCGAGCGAGCGGCGGACGGGAGAGUAAUGUAUGGGAAACUGCCUGAGGGAGGGGGAAAACGACUGGAAACGGUAGCUAAUACCGCAUACCAGCAGGUGAGCCCAGGUGGGAUUAGCUAGUAGGUGGGGUAACGGCUCACCAAGACGAAGAUCCGUAGCUGGUCUGAGAGGAUGAACAGCCAAACUGGACCUGACACACGGCCCAGCCUCCUACGGGAGGCAGCAGUGGGGAAUAGUGCACAAUGUGCGCAAGCCUGAUGCAGCCAUGCCGCGUGUGUGAAGAGGGCCUUCGGGUUGUAAAGCACUUUCAGCGGUGAGGCGUUACUCGCAGAAGAAGCACCGGCUAAGUCCGUGCCAGCAGCCGCGGUAAUGC